GAGCCUGUAGAAGCUUCCGAAAUUACAUCACUAUGGGGUUGAGCCAGGCCUCAGUGUUGAGCUGAACUGCUGCGGUUGGGUACAGGACUCUGGAAGCCAAAGAGACAAGAUACAGGGCUGUAGCAUCACAAGGAACUGCAGGCCAUCUUUGGACACUCUGAGGCAUCUCUACCUGUUUGGAGGCUAGUUGGAUGGAUGGAAAUGCAAGAAAACCUCCCUGGAGACCAGAAGUUGCCUGAGUACUCUCACGUGGGUCCUGUGAUAGGCCUGAAGAUGGGCCAGAAGCAGCAGAGAGAAGGAGAGAGGCUGGAUGCUGCUGGAAGCCUGGUCCAUGACAGCAUCCUCCAAAGCACUCUUCAGGCUAAAAUGAGCUUCAUCCAGCCUCAUCUUGCCAGUAACAAAUACAUCCGACAGCCAGUUGACUGUUGUAAUUCCUGGAAGAGGAACUUUGGUGGUCUGUCUUGGCCAAAGGUACCACGGGAAGUGUGAAUAUGUCUGUGCACUUGUGGCAGAGUGAGGCAGGCCCGGGGCUCAGGAGUUCUCUGUGCCAUUUUGGCCGACCUGCACAGCAACACUCCAGUACCUGUCCCGCUGCCCUACCUACCCCUAGGAAAAGCUGUAGAGUCAGUUGCCUAACACCAUCCCAUUUCCAAUCCCUUCUUCAACCUUCUUCCUCAAGUUCCUAUCUCUACCGUCCAUCCCAGGUCCCCAGUAUUUUUCUUGCAGGGGUCACAUGCCACAUUGCUGUGUAUCAUUUAGUCUGCACUUCACAUUUUGUCAAGCAUUUGAUAAAGUUGAUUGUGGUCUCUGUUCUA